GAUGAAGAACGCAGCGAAAUGCGAUAAGUAAUGUGAAUUGCAGAAUUCAGUGAAUCAUCGAAUCUUUGAACGCACCUUGCGCUCUUUGGUAUUCCGAAGAGCAUGCCUGUUUGAGUGUCAUGAAUAUAUCAACCUUGACUUGGGUUUUGUGCUCUAGUCUCGGCUUGGAAUUGGGUGCUUGCCGCUUUUACGAGCGGCUCACCUUAAAUGUAUUAGCUGGAUCUGUCUUUGAGACUUGGUUUGACUUGGCGUAAUAAGUAUUUCGCUAAGGACAUUCUUCGGAGUGGCCUCGUUUCUAGGACGCUUGUCCGCUUUCCAAUACAAGUUCCACCUCGUGGACAUGACUUUUUAUUAUCUGGCCUCAAAUCAGGUAGGACUACCCGCUGAACUUAAGCAUAUCAAUAAGCGGAGGA
rnacentral:misc_RNA from 1 species